rnacentral:rRNA from 1 species
CAGCCGCCACGGUAAUACGGAGGGUGCAAGCGUUAUCCGGAUUCACUGGGUUUAAAGGGUGCGUAGGCGGAUCUGUAAGUCAGUGGUGAAAUCUCCAGGCUUAACCUGGAAACUGCCGUUGAUACUAUAGGUCUUGAAUUUUGUGGAGGUUAGCGGAAUAUGUCAUGUAGCGGUGAAAUGCAUAGAUAUGACAUAGAACACCAAUUGCGAAGGCAGCUGGCUACACAACUAUUGACGCUGAGGCACGAAAGCGUGGGGAUCAAACAGGAUUAGAUACCCCCGUAGUCCCUGUCUCUUAUAC